GUUCUUUUAGUAUUACUUAGUACAAUUGACUUCCAAUCAAUCAGCUUCGGCACAACCCGAAAAAGAAUA
rnacentral:tRNA from 2 species